ACUCCUACGGGAGGCAGCAGUGGGGAAUAUUGCACAAUGGGGAAACCCUGAUGCAGCCAUGCCGCGUGUGUGAAGAAGGCCUUCGGUUGUAAGCACUUUCUAGUAGGGAGGAAGGUAGUGUAGUUAACACCUGCACUAUUUGACGUUACCUACAGAAGAAGCACCGGCUAACUCCGUGCCAGCAGCCGCGGUAAUACGGAGGGUGCGAGCGUUAAUCGGAAUUACUGGGCGUAAAGCGCAUGCAGGCGGCCUGUUAAGUCAGAUGUGAAAGCCCGGGGCUUAACCUCGGAAUUGCAUUUGAAACUGGCAGGCUAGAGUCUUGUAGAGGGGGUAGAAUUUCAGGUGUAGCGGUG
rnacentral:rRNA from 1 species